rnacentral:tRNA from 1 species
GGGGGCGUAGCUCAGUUGGUCAGAGCAGUCGACUCAUAAUCGACCGGCCGCAGGUUCGAGCCCUGCCGCCCCCA